rnacentral:lncRNA from 1 species
CCAUCUCUUCAGUAAAUCUAUUUGCUUGGGUGCUAGCUAAGGCUUCUGCAAUUAAAGCAUCAGGUAUUCAAUUUUUUUUUUUGUAACUAUAUUUAUUUAUUUUUUCUCUACUUUAAUCAAUGAAUGUAUUUAACUCUUAUUAUAUCUGAAAAAUAUAAAAUUAAUUUAAUAAAUAUUAUUAAUAUGUAUAUUUUUUAAAACUAUAUUUUAAGCUUAACAAUUUAAUAUUCAUUAAUUUUAAUAUUAUAACAUUAAAUUUUAAUUCAAUUAAUUAAAGUCUUUAGAUAAAGAAAUAAUUUAUCUAAAAUAAACUUUAUUUUUAUUUUUAUUUUUUCAAUAAAUAAAAUUUAUAUUUAACAUAUAAAAAUUAUAAAUAAUCUUUUUAAAGAAAAGAAUGGAAUAGCUUAAAAAAAUUAAAAGCUAAAGAGUAAAAGAAUAAUUUAUCCAAAUUAUAAUCAAGUGCUUCAAAUAAAACGUAUUAUGUGUCAAAAAAUUAUAAUGUGAGCUUACUAUUUUUUUUCAUUUUUUUAACCUCAUAUUAUUAUGGUAUAUAAGUUGAAGAAGUAAUGUUUAUUUUUUAUAAAAAGGUAUUUAACUAAUUUAGAAUAAAUUAUAUUACUAUUAUUUAAUUUUAAAAAUAUUUAAUAUUAAAAUAAUAAAAAAUCAUUAUAGUUUGACUAUUAAUAUUAUUAUAAUUUUUAAAUAAUAUUAUUAAUAAUUUCUUACAGGUUAUUUUUUAUAUAUACUAUUAAAUUAAUUUACUUUAAUGUCAAUAUUUUUUCUAUUUUAAUUAAUUAAUGCAAUUAACCCUUAUUAUAUUUAAAAAAUAUAAACAUAAUUUGAUAAAUGUUUUUAAUAUGUAUAUUUUAAAAUAUAUAUUUUAAGUUUAACAAUUUAAUAUUCAUUAAUUUUCAUAUGAUAACAUUAGGGUUUGUUUGGACAGUACUGAGUAAUUGUAUGAAAGUGUAAUUAUUUACUCUCUCUUGUAAUUACAAAAAAUUGUAAUUCUCCAUACGAGUUUGGCUGACUGAGUGUAAUUACCUCAUAAUUUUCUAUGUCACAUUUGGUAUUACAAAUUGUAAUUACACAGUUACAUAAUUUAUACUUUUUAAAAAUAUUAAUUAUUAUAAAAAUUUAUCAUUACGAUAAAAAAUUUCUAAACGAAGAAAACUUGAAAUCAAAUCAUAAUAUGUAAUAUGUUAGUCUAAUAAAGUAGUCGGUAAUAUAAUUACUAAUAAAAAUAACAAGAAAAAUAAACACCAUAUGGAAAUUUAUCUAAUUACUUUAGCGUUCUAUAUUUAUUGGGUUAUUCCCUCUUUAACAUUUAACAUAUUCUUUUUAUCAUCAUAUGUUGGUCUUUGAUUGAAUUCUUCAUCAUUUGAAUUUGAAUUUAAAUAUGUAUCAUUAAAAUUAUUAAGAUCUCAUAUUACAUGUACACUUCAAAGUAUGAAUCAUCCUAAUUCCACUUACAAAUGAAGUUAUAAAAUAUGCAACAUACAAGUAUGAUCUACCCUUUUUUUUUAUACUAUAUUGAUGUGAUAUCGUUAAUAUGAGAAAUCUAUUUUUAGAACAACAAAUGUCCUCUUAAUUAUAUUUUGAAGCAUUGAACGUAUCAAAUUAAAGAGUUUGCAAGUCAUCUCUGGUGCUUGUGUUUGGUUCCAUUCUCUCAAAUGGUAUCAUACCCCAUGCAUGGUGCGAGAAAAACUUUUGUACUUGCAUAACUAAUAUCUACUACAUAAUAUUUGGGUUCAUGGUCUGUAACUUUGAUUAUAAAAUUUUAAUAUGACUUAAUUUAGAGCAACACUUAAACUAGAUUGUAACCUUUUAAAUUAGGUUAAAAUAAUAUAAAAUUUUUAUAAAACAAGGUUUUAUAAAAUAUUCAAUAAUUUCUAUAACGCUUUUUAUAAAUAAUAUUACUUUUUGUUGUAACUUUAGAAAAUUAUUUUUUAUAAAUAAGUUAUAACAAAAGUUUGUAACAUUUUUAAUAAAUAAAUAUAUUAUUAUAUUUAUAAUAUAAAAUGAACACGUAAAUAAAUUAUGUUUAUACUUUUUAACCAUAAUUUUUAUAAAUAAGUACAUUAUAACACUUUUAUAAUACGUAAAUUAUUUUUUAUAAUAUACUUUUCGGUUAUAAUAUUAGAAACUUUUUAGGAUUUAAAUAGUACAAUUUUUUUGUUAUAACUUUAUAAAACACAUAUAAAAUUUUUUUUAUAAUAUAUGCUUUUUGAUUUAUAAUAUAAUUUUAAAACUUUUUUACCCAUAGUUAUCCUAAACAUUGAUACAUGUUCAUGCUUGUAAUAUAAUUUUUAUAACUUAAACUUGUAUAAAAAGUAAUUUUUUAAAGCCAAAUCAUAUAUGAGUGUUUGGAAAGCCAUAGGAUAUAAUUGGAUUUGAAUGUAAUUAUCUGCAUAAUUACUCCAAACCUAAGAAUUGAAAAGUGUAAUUAGGAUGCUCCAAGUACACCAAAUUUAAUGGUGCUCACCAAUUACAAUGGUUCCCCAAAGAUGCAACUCUUAUGUAGUUAUAAGCAAUUACACUCAAAUUUAAUUACUAUGUGGCUUUCCAAACACAACUUAAAAGAUAAUCCAAUUAAGUAAAAUCAUAAAUAAAGAGACAAUUUAUUUAAAAUCAACUCUAUAUUUAACAUAUAAAAAAUUAUAAGCUGAUUGAGUAUUAGCUCGAUUGGUAUUGACAUUGUUGCCAGUGCAGGAGGACGUGGAUUUGAGUGUGUUAAAGCGCGUUUAUCCUCCUAUUUAAGGGUUGAGAUGGGUUAUGAGUAGUACUAAGUAUUAUAUCAACUUAAAAACUUUCAAAUACUUUCACAAUUGAAUUAUCAUGUAAAAAAACUGUAUGAAAACAUGACUAUUUUUUAUUUAUUUUAUAAUCUCACAUUGCUAUAGCGUGCAUAUAUAUAUAUAUGAUUAGAUAUAUAUUGUGAUAUUAAUUUAAUACUAGAUUUUAUGAUGAAAAAGUAUAUUAAUAUAAUAUGGCAUAAUGACUUGGGUGAUAAUUUAUUAUGAGCCCAAGAAUAUUGGGUCAUAUAUUUUAGUCGUAGCCCGUUUAGCAUUUGCAAAGUAAUAGCCAAGUAGUCCAUUCCGUACAUGUUCAACUUUAAACAAAACGUCAAAAUCUUACCAAAAAGAAUAAUGAAAUUUAAAGAAACUUAGAUCACUAAGUAGUUUUUGAAUUAUUGGCAUUGCAUGCUUAUCCAUCUUUAUUGGAAGAUUUCUUUUUUAUUCUCUUCAGAUGUCAAUGAAAGUGAAAACCCAAUCCACUAUUAUUAUUAUUAUUAUUAUUAUUAUUAUUAUUAUUAUUAUUAUUAUUAUUAUUAUUAAAAUUGGCAUUAUUCUUUAAAACUUCCUCAUUAAUUAAGUUUUUUUAUUUUAUUUUUUCCAUUCAAUUGCAUAAUAAAAAUGGAUAAAAUCCCAUUGUAAUCAGUUUACCUAAUAUAAACUAGUUUUUGAUCCGGAUGAUGUGUAGGUUUUAACUAUAUGAUAAUAUAUAUUUUAGCAAAUAAAAUAGACAUUUUCUAAUUAAAUCAAUUAUAAAUAUUAAAAAAAUCAAUUUUAACAUAAUUAAAAGUUAUGUAAUUAAAUAAAAAAUUUAAUAAUAUUUUGAAAUUUUAAUACAAUUUGACAUCUCUUCACACCUAUCACAUUCCAAAAACCGAGUUAGAAGAAAUUGGAAUUGUGAAAUUAUGUCAAGGGAAUUAAUUUAGUUUAGUGGAUAAGUGUUGUGUAUGUGGAGAGGUUUUGGGUUUGAAUAUUUUGCCUAAAUUCUAAACCCUAAACCCUUAUCUUUGAACAUCUAAUCUAUAAAUUAUUUUCGCUUAUUUAAUGUUAAGGUUGAGUUGAUUGAUUCAGUGGUUAGGUUUUAGCUUUCUAUUUGGUCCUAUGUUUGAAUCUUUGCGUGAGCAAAAUGGUUUUAAGUUAUUUUUAUUUUUUUUUGUUUUAACAAUAAAAAAGAUAUUCCUAUCUUUGCUCCCAAUAAUAACUAUCCAACCCCCUCUCUUUUCCAUGUUUAUUUUCUUUCUUUUUUUCUUUUCUCUUCUUUCUUUUUCCCUCCAUGUUUCUUCUUUCUUUUCGCUUACUAUUUAGUUGGUUCUUGACUUCUACCAAUCAAUUUUUGUUUCCGUUUGUGUGGGUUAUAUCUCUUGAAUAAUUGUUCUUGCAAAGGGCAAGUAUCGUUUAGUUAUUUUUCUUGAGAUUUUGCUUUUAGUUCGUUUUAAUAAGGUGUUGUUGUUUUGAUAUCGUUUUUGUUAUGAUGAGUGGUAAUUUUGUGGUUUUUGUUAGAAAAAAGGGGUGUAAAUCAAGACCUUCCAGUAGAGUAGGCUCGGUUGUGGAAUGCUUUUUCGAAGAGGUGAGUAAGCAAUUUGUAAUUUAGGAUUUGAAAUUUUGAUUUAAUUGACAUGAAUUGGAGAUGAAUUUUCUUUCGUUUAAUUGGUACAGGUGAUGAACAAUUGUAGGUUUCUGGAAGUUCCUAUUGUGUAUUCGAUCAAAUCAACAAUUAAGUGUGUGAAACUAACCCGAUUCAUUAUUUGAAACUCGAGUAAAAUGUGAAUCAGGGGCUGUUUUCGAAACUGCCCAGGCCCCCACGGCCAUGUGAAAUCAUGCAGGUCGUGUGGGUAGGCUGUGUGGGGCACACGACCGUAUGAAAUCAUGCAGGCCAUAUGGGUAGGCCAUGUGGGGCACAUGGCUGUGUGAAAUCAUGCAGACCAUGUGGGCCUUUAGGGUAUGAGACUCAGAAAUUGGGUCCAUGGGCAUUAUGUAGGCCUAGAAAAGCAUAAGUUUUAGUAAACAAACAUGAGUAUGUUAAAUAGGUUUCGAUAAGUAUAAUAAUGCAUUAUGAUUAGCUAUAAGUAGGUACAGAAGUCAACUAUGGCUAUUUUGUAAACCAUGUGUGUUAUAUGUAUUCUAUUAUCUGUUCUGAUAAGCUAUCCAAUUUGCCUGUGUAAUAUGAUA